rnacentral:rRNA from 1 species
AGUGAGCGCUGGCGGUAGGCCUAACACAUGCAAGUCGAACGGCAGCACAGUAAGAGCUUGCUCUUACGGGUGGCGAGUGGCGGACGGGUGAGGAAUACAUCGGAAUCUACUUUUUCGUGGGUGAUAACGUAGGGAAACUUACGCUACUACCGCAUACGACCUACGGGUGAAAGCAGGGGAUCUUCGGACCUUUCGCGCUUUCAUGAGCCGAUGUCGGAUUAGCUAGUUGGCGGGGUAAAGGCCCACCAAGGCGACGAGCCGUAGCUGGUCUGAGAGGAUGAUCAGCCACACUGGAACGGAGAAACGGUCCAGACUCCUACGGGAGGCAGCAGUGGGGAAUAUUGGAAAAGGGGCGCAAGCCUGAUCCAGCCAUACCGCGUGGGUGAAGAAGGCCUUCGGGUGGUAAAGCCCGUUUGUUGGGAAAGAAAAGCAGCAGGUUAAUACCCCGCUGUUCUGACGGUACCCAAAGAAUAAGCACCGGCUAACUUCGUG